rnacentral:rRNA from 1 species
GACGAACGCUGGCGGCGUGCUUAACACAUGCAAGUCGAACGGAAAGGCCCUGCUUUUGUGGGGUGCUCGAGUGGCGAACGGGUGAGUAACACGUGAGUAACCUGCCCUUGACUUUGGGAGAACUUCAGGAAACUGGGGCUAAUACCGGAUAGGAGCUCCUGCUGCAUGGUGGGGGUUGGAAAGUUUCGGCGGUUGGGGAUGGACUCGCGGCGUAUCAGCUUGUUGGUGGGGUAGUGGCUUACCAAGGCUUUGACGGGUAGCCGGCCUGAGAGGGUGACCGGCCACAUUGGGCCUGAGAUGCGGCCCAGCCUCCUCCGGGAGGCAGCAGUGGGGAAUAUUACACAAUGGGCGGAAGCCUGAUGCAGCAACGCCGCGUGCGGGAUGACGGCCUUCGGGUUGUAAACCGCUUUCGCCUGUGACGAAGCGUGAGUGACGGUACUGGGUAAAGAAGCACCGGCUAACUACGUG